AAAGCAUAUUGAAUACUAUCGCUUUCUAUAAAUUGCGUUUCAAUAAAAUACUAAAACAGGUGGACAAACCACGUUUACCACAGUUGUACAAAACACUAAACUCCUUUUUUUUUUUUUGGCUCACAAUGGAAUUACAAAACAAUCUCAAACGUUCAUUACACGUUUUCAUUACAAAGCAAGAAAGUACAUCUUCCGGGGUAACUGCAAGAUUGGGAAACGAUACAGUAGAGAGAAAAGUUUGUCUGUGAUUGGUUGUUUUCGUGGUGACGGCCUCGUUCUGACAUGCGCAUUAAGUUAUAUAACUACGGUUGUGGGGCGUCAGACUUCAUUUUGUGCUGGUGUCUGAAAGGUACUGUUGUUUUACUGCAAUCAUAUAUUCAGGUUAAUAUUGUACUUGUUUAUAUAGCACACAUUCGAAAACAAAUGCUGCAACAUUUGUAUGAACUAGGGAUUUGUCUGAAUUAAAUUGUUUAUUAUUGGUUGUGUACGGUACCCAGCUGUACAUGAUACCAAGACUGAUCAGCUACGAAAGUCUGUAUUAACUUAUUAUUGUUGCUGGAAGCGCAAGUUGAACAGCGUAAUACAUUGUAUAUACAGUAUUUAUUGUUGAAAUACAGCUGUAUCGAAAGCGGUUUUGAAAUAUUAUAUUUGUCUUUUAGUUUGUAAAAUUAAACUGCUAGCAUUUUCUACGUGUUUGGGCAAACUUGAACGUAUACUAGCCCACAAAAAGAAGAUACAAGGGACUGUACUUGGUAAUUAUGUGUAUGGACGCAAUGGAGGUUAAAAUAGAACCGAAAUUAGUCCAACCCUGCUCUUACCAGAAAAAGAGAUUCACAAAAUGGAAGUCCAGGAAGUGUUUCAGUGGCGGCGGUCAGAAAAGCUUACUAAAAUGGAAGCGUGACUCUACACAGGCAUCAAGAAAAUACCGACAACAAGGCCUCUGUCAGGCGGAGAAACACAGACACGGAAACCGAAGGCUAUUUAUCGACAACAACGGUGAUUGCAAAAACUUGCGACCCGGCAGUGACCGGACUUUUCCGGGUAUGCAAGCUCCUCAAAACACUACGCAGUAUCUUAUGCACCUUGUUUACCAGGAUCUCGUAAACGAUUCUGUUAAAGGACAGGAUUCCGAAUUUGAAAGUGUUUAUAGUCGUGUUGCAAGUGAUUUUGAUGACUCUCAAUAUAUGGGACCGGAACUGCUUUACUACGAGACUGCCUCUUCUCAAAGCACUUGCAGUCAGUCAAACAUCGAUUUGGAAAAGACUCGUGACAUUCUACGGUGCGAUUUUGAAAACAUCUUUAAUGUUUCAUGGGUCGAGAACAUUUAAGAAUUUCCAGCUGAACCGACAACCCAGCGAUUGACUUUUUCUCUUAAGACUGCGGCCAUUGAGUGAAUCUGAAGCAGCCUGUCUGCAGAGCCGUUCUCAUCCUUGCAACCUGCAGACCUCAACCUCCGGAGUCUGAGAAUUCAGAUCUGCAGUUGGUAUCUGGUGUGGUCUCCAGGUAAAUGUGCCAGCUGAGAAUACAGGUACACUGUGGCAUGUUUUUGCUGUUGAGCAAAUUGUGUAUUAUCUGUACACUUACAGAAGAGAACACAGGUGCUACAAAUGUCUGCAAAAGUUUAGUUCUCCUUAGCCACUGUGUAGAUGUACAAAGUGUCUAAGGUUAGAGCUUUUACUUGAGUCAUGAUAUUCACAGAUUAAACUUUUAUAUUUAAUUUCCUCUAGGGUCAAAGCCUUCAGAGUACACGGAGAACUUAUUUGGAAACCAGUUUGAACUAAAAUUUUGUUUUUGUUCAGGCAUCACUCUUCAGGAGGACGGAGCCUGUUGGGUCCCAUGCUGGUAAUCUCUUUAAAAUUUUAUCCUUCAAGUAGGUAAUGUUACGGUGACGCAGCAGAUCUCUAACAACUUAAAAUGGACAACCUUUUCCUGUUGGUAAGGAUAUAAUGUGGAUAAAGUGGGUUCCCUUAUAAUUGCAUGCUUGCCAUAUUGGUCAAGCUUGCUAUUGUUCAGAGAUUAGUGAUGACAUUUUCUUUUCUUUUUUUUUCUUUUAAACUUUUCAGAAAAACAGCAAGUGAAUAAGUAAUUGACUGCAAUAUGUAAUGGAAUGUGUUAUUUGUUUUAGUAUUCUUUCUAGUUGACUUCCAGGUAUCUGUUGGAAUUCAGCUGGUGUGAUGUGUUAAAGCUGUCUGCAACCAGUCAAGUUCAUCAAUAUAAAAACAAAUACAGGACAACUUAAGUAAAACAGCUGUUACAUCUACCCCCCCCCCCCCACCCCCCAGCAGAAAAUUGAUACAAAUGAUCAUUGUGACUUCACAUUGCUUGAUAAUUUGAUGCUCAUUCAGCAAACUUGGUGGGGUUAUAUAUUUAUAGAUAUUUGUCUACGACAAAUAUUUAAAUAUUGGUACAAAUUAUACUUUCGUUUGUUGAUAUUAAGUUGGACAUAUAGGGGCUAUACUUCAUGACUACCUUUCACAUACAAACAUUAUUGCUAACACUUCUACAUUUACUAACAUUAAAUGUCAAAUACCAUCUCUAUUUCAUUUAUUAACGUUAGAUGAGUAAUUAAUAAAUAUUUACAAUUGAUGUCGACAGUAGUGUAUAAAGCUGUAUUUUGACUUGUAGAUGCAAAAACAAUUAUAAACAUUAGUUAGAUCUUACACAAACUCUUUUUAUAGUGUUCAGUUAUUUAACUAAUUACUAAUCAAGUAAAAUUUAAUUGGUUUCAUAUAUUUAUGAUCUAGUCUGCCUGGAUUAGUUUAGAUGUUUUUUGAUUUUAGACAUACUUUCACAAGGAAGGGAGCUGUUUCACAUGCAUAGAGUUUUGUCUAAAUCCAGUUGCCUUGUGUUUUUAAACUCUCCAUUUACUGGUUAAAUAAGUUCAAAGUCAUUUAAGCCUUAAAACUGUCAUUUUUAAAGUACUUUGUUUUAAGUCUCAUACAAAGGCUUGCCACAACUAUAAACCAGUAUUUGUUAAUGUAUUUACUUGAAAUAAACUGUAGGGUUAGUACCUGUCAAUUAAGUUCUUGUACACACAAAGGAAUGUCACAUGACUUUUAAACUUGAGAAUUGUAGCCAUGUUUAUGCAUUCACCAACCAAUUGCAACAGUCAGCACAUACGAUCAACUAGUUUUACAGUGGAAAAAUUCUGGUUGGAACUGGCUAUAGAAAAAGCUAGUGACAAUAAGAACACUUGGUUUAAAAAAAAUAAAAAAAAAUGGAAGAAAACAUUGAGCUGUCUAAGAAGUUGAGAUGCUCUGCAAUUUGUAUUGGGUAUAUGUAACAUUUUGCUGUGAUUGAUCUAUUACAGCUGUAGGAACGGGACAGGUACCAAAAUUAUGUUUCAUUGAUGUUAAAUAAAAAAAUAUAUAUAUUUUUUUUUACCAAAAAAACUGUUUGAAUCAAUUGAGUUUUGUUUAUUUUAUUCUUUUGAAUAUGGUGCCAGCAUCUCUCCUACAGUGUUCAAAAUUGCAACUUGCCAAAAUUUGGUCUGGUUUGGGUACAUUUUACAUGCUUACAUGCUCCAGUGAUGCAUCUCUCUUUUUUUGUGAACUAAGGAAGUGGAGGUGUGGCCUCGCCCCCAGGCAGCGGUGGUGCAGCUGCAGUCCUUUUUCUCUUGCUCCCCUAUUAAUAUGAAUUAAAUGAGGCUGGCAUUUAGUGUUUCAACCAAUUAGUACCAAAUAUUGCUAUGCGAGGAUGGGAGGAGUUUAUUAUUUCAGCAUUAAGCAUUGCCCUGCAAGAGAGGGGGGGAACUAAUGUUUUUGCACGUACUUGAGGACUUGUGACCUUUUAGUAUAUUUUUCUCCUGUUGAACUGUAACUUGAUUGAGACCAUAGGCACCUAACCCAUAAAGCACAGGGGAGACAAACAAUAUAUUUUGCCACUCUACUUUUUUUGCUCUGUGUAAACACACUAUUCUAUGUUUUGUUAUGAUUUUGUCUAUAAAUGUAAAAUAAAAAAGGAAAGUCAUUAAAUAAAUAAAAACCCACAAUAAAAUACCCCCUACACAAACAUUGGUUUGACCCACCAUAGUCCGGUCUGCACUAUUUACAACAGCUAACAUUAGCAGCGGUGUGACUGCAACAGAAGAUCGUGGGCAGUUUGGAUAUUACAAAAAAUGAUUAAUUAAAUAUAGGCUAGGUAAUUGUUAGUUUAGUUUGUUUUAUUCUCUUAAUUAAAUUAUAUUCAAACUGUUAAUUAUGUAUUUUCUUUUAAGCAAGGACGUUAGGUUUGUGUUGCUGCGGGCCAUGAAUGUGUUUAAGUUCAACAACAACUCUAAAUACAAUGUUACUGCUGUUAAGUACUGGUAAUAAUCUGAAGCCGUGGUAUUGCAAAAUAACAAUGUCGUUUUUACUUCAGAAUUUUUUUUUUUUUAAACUUGUUUAUUUAUUAAUUUUCAGCUUUUAUAUUGAAGCUUGUUGUGUAUUACUUAUUAAAGCAAACCAAGUAGGAAUUUGCUUGAGACGUUUUUGAGCUCAUGUAAGCUUAUUUGUGUAUAAAUAAUUACAGUAGUUUAAUCUUACUUUAAAGGCACGCACCUGAAUGGUAAGGUGAUUAAACUGUUUGCUUAUACUCUCCCUGCCGUUCUUCGCACUGUCAGUCCUGGUUAAAGAUAUACAUAAUGUACCUGAUCUGAAGCAAGUGUAAAACUUGCCUGAAUAUUAAAAUAAAAAAUAUAUAAAUAUUUUAAAACUAGCAAGAUAAGACUUGUUGCACUAGCAGCAGUUACAUUAUUGUUUUACAUUAUUGUUUAACUCAAUUGACCAUAUUUAGAAGCAAGAACAAAGGCAAAGACACAAUUUCUUAGAGCAAUAAGACAGUUUUAAUGGUAUAUUUAAUGGUAAACAAGAAACAACUCCUUACUGGCCCUUCCUGCAACUAACUUCGUACUGUUGAAAUUGUUCUAUUCAGAAAAAAAAAGUCUUUGAAUUUGCUUCAGAGUGGUCUUUUUUAUAUAAUAAAAGUGUCUUGACAGA